rnacentral:rRNA from 1 species
GAUGAACGCUGACGGCGUGCCUAAUACAUGCAAGUCGAGCGAACGGACGAGAAGCUUGCUUCUCUGAUGUUAGCGGCGGACGGGUGAGUAACACGUGGAUAACCUACCUAUAAGACUGGGAUAACUUCGGGAAACCGGAGCUAAUACCGUAUAAUAUUUUGAACCGCAUGGUUCAAAAGUGAAAGACGGUCUUGCUGUCACUUAUAGAUGGAUCCGCGCUGCAUUAGCUAGUUGGUAAGGUAACGGCUUACCAAGGCAACGAUGCAUAGCCGACCUGAGAGGGUGAUCGGCCACACUGGAACUGAGACACGGUACAGACUCCUACGGGAGGCAGCAGUAGGGAAUCUUCCGCAAUGGGCGAAAGCCUGACGGAGCAACGCCGCGUGAGUGAUGAAGGUCUUCGGAUCGUAAAACUCUGUUAUUAGGGAAGAACAUAUGUGUAAGUAACUGUGCACAUCUUGACGGUACCUAAUCAGAAAGCAACGGCUAACUACGUG